rnacentral:rRNA from 1 species
GACGAGGGGUCCUAGCGUUGUUCGGAAUCAUUGGGCGUAAAGCGUGUGUAGGCGGCCACGUAAGUCAGUUGUGAAAGCCCCGGGCUCAACCCGGGAAGUGCUUCUGAUACUGCAUGGCUUGAGUACUGGAGAGGAUAGUGGAAUUCCAGGUGUAGUGGUGAGAUACGUAGAUAUCUGGAGGAACACCGGUGGCGAAGGCGGCUAUCUGGCCAUGUACUGACGCUGAGACGACGAAAGCGUGGGGAGCAAACAGG